rnacentral:lncRNA from 1 species
CCAGUUCAGAGAAUUUUGCAUCGAGCUCGGCAUUACACAUUGUCUCACCUCGGUGGCUCAUUCACAAACCAACAGAAAAGUCAAGGUAAUGAAUAGGACUUUACUGUAGGGACUAAAGAUGAGGCUAGUUCAUACCAAAGGUCGAGAUUCUCUUUCAAAGACAAUUGGAAAGACAAUAGAGAAGAAAGUUCCAACAGUUUAGUAGGCCCA